rnacentral:rRNA from 1 species
UACGUAGGGUGCAAGCGUUAAUCGGAAUUACUGGGCGUAAAGCGUGCGCAGGCGGUGAUGUAAGACAGUUGUGAAAUCCCCGGGCUCAACCUGGGAACUGCAUCUGUGACUGCAUCGCUGGAGUGCGGCAGAGGGGGAUGGAAUUCCGCGUGUAGCAGUGAAAUGCGUAGAUAUGCGGAGGAACACCAAUGGCGAAGGCAAUCCCCUGGGCCUGCACUGACGCUCAUGCACGAAAGCGUGGGGAGCAAACAGG